GGCAAAAGAUGAUGGUGAGCAGGAGAAAGAGAAGCCUUUUGGCAGGGCUAGAAUCCUCGACUGGCAGCUGGCGCCGGACCUGACAAGAGACAACACAGGGAAGAGGUCAGCAUUCAGAUUCCUUUGGUUCCAAGCCACAGAAACUCACUGUGGCUAACAAACAGAAAAGGUGAUGUGGGCCAGGAAUCCGGACGGAGCACAGUACAGGUGGCUCGUCUCUGCUCCAUGAUGCCUGAGUUUGCAGCUGGAAGACUCCAAAGCCGGGGAUUGAAAUGGUCAGCAGGAUUUUUUGCUUACAAGACUGGCAGUGGAUGCUGGCUAUUGGCUGGGGGCUUAGUUCCUCUCUCCAUGGUCUAGGGUGGGCUUUUCUUGCAUGGUGGCUGGCUUACUGAGAGAAAGAACCAGGCCCGAGUGGUAUUUUUAUGACCCCACCUUUUUAUGACCUACAUUGCUUUCCCCCAACCCCACUAGUCAGAGCAGUCAUAGUCCCACCGAGAUUCAAGGGGAGGGAACAUGUCCCCACCCUGGAGGCUGACAUGUCACCCUGGACAAGAAGAGCAUGGGGAGAGGAAGGGCAUCCAUCUUUGGAAAAUGUAAUCUUCCAUACUCUGUCAGAACUCUCCAUUUGCUUCUUAGGAGUGGUCCCUUUAUGCAGCAAUUGUCAAUAAUAACAGCAAUGGGAGAACUUCCUGAGGGCAGAGAUCAGGCCUGUUACUUUUUAUCUUUAUAACCUCAGCAUUUGAUCAGUAAUAGGCUCAUAACAGAUACCUGUGGAAGGAAGAGCUGCUUUUGAAGUCUAUCAGCUAUUUUUCAUAUACACUGCAUCAUUUGAUCUGAAUCAGCCAUCGAGACCAUUUCACAGUUGAAGAAACAGAGGCUUACAGGAGUAAGUGGGCUACCCCCAAUGACUUAGCUAGCAAGAGCUCGGCUGUGACAUGAGCCCAGGUCUUCUGGGUUGAUGUUACCUGUAUUAAUAACUUGAUGUCUCCAAAGGGCAAAUGGAAUUCCUAGGGUCCGGGACUUGGCGCCCUAGGGUUUUGGCACCCCUGCCUCCUCUAGCCUCAGAGCAGCACAGGGCCAAUCGCAGGCUAUGGACAUAGCUCCCUCAGGGCUGUUCAUACUGGUCCUGCAUCUGAUACACCCAUUUGUCAUGAUGUCUUAAUAUGAUUUUGCAUCUCUUUUCCUGUGGGCUCAAUGAAGGGCUUGGACACAGACUCUGACACUGCUUUCAGCUUCCAGGAUGGGUAGAGGGCCAGGAUGAAGUUGCUCCUCAAAUCUCUGUGCUGGCAGUGAGCAGGCAGCACCCACAACAGGAGUAUGAAGCAGAUAAGAAGCGCCAGGGAGCAUUCAUGUGGAGCAAUCAGAUGAUGAUCUGAGGUAACUGCAUAGGAAGAGGGGAAAACCUAGAACAGAAGUGGCUGAGGCAGUUCCAGGAGGGCCAGCUCAGACGGGAGAGGGGAUCCAAUUUCCACCGCCUCCUCAAUUCACUUCCCAGCCCUAAAAAUGCUCUCAGCCUCAGAGGGAAAUCCUGGGAAAGUAGCCCGUGAGGGUGCAGGGGUGUUUAUCAAGAUUGUGAGUGGGUGGGAGCAGAUCUUAGAACUUGCAUCAGGCCUCCAUUUUCCAAAUCCGGCUUGUGCCCUGCCACCCCCUCCCCCCAAACCAACUGACUUUAUCUCUUUAGAGAUGUCCCUGGGUUAGCAGUUUCUUUCUCAGAUAUUGCAGAUCAGGAAGGACUUUUGGAAACCACAGUUUCCACUUCCGCUGUGGGGGCAGAAAGCAUGGGCAGCCUAACCCCCUGGUGCUUGGGAAGUAACAAGAAGGACCAAAUGCAGCUGCUUCAUGUGGGACUCCUGCCCAUACCAGGUCUCCACUCUCCUGUACCAGCCCUCCGGGGACCUCUUAGGCCAUCUCUUCCCUCUGGUUUCUCCCCAGCCUGCUCCCCUCUGCUAGCAUGUUCUCUGGCUCUGACGUUCUCUUCUGAACGCAGCUUGCUGUGACUUCCCACAUCAUCCCGACUUCUGGGCCUCACCUUUGUAGACCUUGGUGGACUGGCUUUGACUGUAUCAUUUGUGAGUCAGCUUUGCUGCUUUGUUCCGGCCCCACCAAUGUGAUUAUGCUCUCCUCCACGUAGGAAUUACUCAUUGCUUAUGUCACCAAUCCCAGUGGAAUGUGCCCCCUCCUCCGUGACACCCAUUCACCACACAUCCUUUAUUACUUUGUUUAAACUAACGAUGCUGUUUUCCCCCCUUCUGAUGAUUAAAAUGAUAUGUGUUUGUUAUGGAAAAUCUGUAAACUACAAAAGGUAUACGAAAGAAAAUUAACAGUACCUGUAAUUCCAGCCCAAAUAAAAGGAACAUUUCAUGCUGGUGGGUUUCCUUCUAGUAUUCUCGGCUGUGCUUCAGCCUGCCUCAGGCCUCCAUGCAUGCCAAUUAUUCCUUCUACCUCCAAAUGUCUCCCUCUGCCUUUUCCCUCCCCACCCCCGCCCGCUUUCUCUCUUCCCUCCCUCAUUCUGCCAGUAAAUCAAUUCAUCCUUAAUAUCGUAAAGGUCAUUCUUUCAAAAAACCUUCAUCUACCCCCUGGUUAGGUCUUCCUGUCAGACACUCACAGUCCCCAGUACUUUUCCUUGUAGCAAAACUGGAAAUAAACGGUUGGUUUUGUACUCAAGUGUUUAACAUCUGUCUCAGCAACUUGACAUAAGUCCAUGAUUGGCUUUCUUGUUUUUUCUUUGACCCAGUCAUUCACCACAGUGCCCUGUGUACAGAAAACACACAGCACUUCACACUAAAACACCUUCCUAGAAGAGCCAUGUGUCUGUCCUCUCCAUACUUUAAAAAAGUCAAUUUAAUAAAAACAGUGAACUAAUUGCCAUAUAUCUGACCUAGUUCCAUGUACAGGGUGCCAGCUCUUGUUCUCAAGGAGCCCUACGUCUUUUAAGGGUGACAAUGAGUAAGCGGAGCAUUCUGAUAUAUCCUUAAAUAUAAGGUGACCAAUAGUUAAGUAAAGCGUGGAGGAAGGGUCCCUAAGCUAGCCUUGGGGAGGUGACACUAUUGUUUUAAUGUGUCCUUGUCAAUGUAUUUACUUUAGAGAAUAAUAAUAGGAUGACUGAAUUGGAUGGAAUUGUGAGAUCACCAGCCCCACCUCUCUCUGUAAGUGAUGGGACUUGGCCAAAA